rnacentral:rRNA from 1 species
GGUUAAGCGACUAAGCGUACACGGUGGAUGCCCUGGCAGUCAGAGGCGAUGAAGGGCGUGCUAAUCUGCGAUAAGCGCCGGUAAGGUGAUAUGAACCGUUAUAACCGGCGAUACCCGAAUGGGGAAACCCAGUGUGACUCGUCACACUAUCAUUAACUGAAUCCAUAGGUUAAUGAGGCGAACCGGGGGAACUGAAACAUCUAAGUACCCCGAGGAAAAGAAAUCAACCGAGAUUCCCCCAGUAGCGGCGAGCGAACGGGGAGGAGCCCAGAGCCUGAAUCAGCAUGUGUGUUAGUGGAAGCGUCUGGAAAGGCGCGCGAUACAGGGUGACAGCCCCGUACACAAAAGCGCAUGUGCUGUGAGCUCGAUGAGUAGGGCGGGACACGUGGUAUCCUGUCUGAAUAUGGGGGGACCAUCCUCCAAGGCUAAAUACUCCUGACUGACCGAUAGUGAACCAGUACCGUGAGGGAAAGGCGAAAAGAACCCCGGCGAGGGGAGUGAAAAAGAACCUGAAACCGUGUACGUACAAGCAGUGGGAGCACAGGUUUACCUGUGUGACUGCGUACCUUUUGUAUAAUGGGUCAGCGACUUAUAUUCUGUAGCAAGGUUAACCGAAUAGGGGAGCCGUAGGGAAACCGAGUCUUAACCGGGCGUUAAGUUGCAGGGUAUAGACCCGAAACCCGGUGAUCUAGCCAUGGGCAGGUUGAAGGUUGGGUAACACUAACUGGAGGACCGAACCGACUAAUGUUGAAAAAUUAGCGGAUGACCUGUGGCUGGGGGUGAAAGGCCAAUCAAACCGGGAGAUAGCUGGUUCUCCCCGAAAGCUAUUUAGGUAGCGCCUCGUGAAUUCAUCUCCGGGGGUAGAGCACUGUUUCGGCUAGGGGGCCAUCCCGGCUUACCAACCCGAUGCAAACUGCGAAUACCGGAGAAUGUUAUCACGGGAGACACACGGCGGGUGCUAACGUCCGUCGUGAAGAGGGAAACAACCCAGACCGCCAGCUAAGGUCCCAAAGUCAUGGUUAAGUGGGAAACGAUGUGGGAAGGCCCAGACAGCCAGGAUGUUGGCUUAGAAGCAGCCAUCAUUUAAAGAAAGCGUAAUAGCUCACUGGUCGAGUCGGCCUGCGCGGAAGAUGUAACGGGGCUAAACCAUGCACCGAAGCUGCGGCAGCGAACGUAUCACCCAAGACAACUUUACGGAGUUGACGAUUGACGGAGCGAAGCGACGUCAAAGCGUUCAUUAAAGUCGAGUUGGCUUAGGGAUACGUUCGUUGGGUAGGGGAGCGUUCUGUAAGCCUGUGAAGGUGGCCUGUGAGGGUUGCUGGAGGUAUCAGAAGUGCGAAUGCUGACAUAAGUAACGAUAAAGCGGGUGAAAAGCCCGCUCGCCGGAAGACCAAGGGUUCCUGUCCAACGUUAAUCGGGGCAGGGUGAGUCGACCCCUAAGGCGAGGCCGAAAGGCGUAGUCGAUGGGAAACGGGUUAAUAUUCCCGUACUUGGUGUUACUGCGAAGGGGGGACGGAGAAGGCUAUGUUGGCCGGGCGACGGUUGUCCCGGUUUAAGCGUGUAGGCUGGUUUUCCAGGCAAAUCCGGAAAAUCAAGGCUGAGGCGUGACGACGAGGCACUACGGUGCUGAAGCAACAAAUGCCCUGCUUCCAGGAAAAGCCUCUAAGCAUCAGGUAACAUCAAAUCGUACCCCAAACCGACACAGGUGGUCAGGUAGAGAAUACCAAGGCGCUUGAGAGAACUCGGGUGAAGGAACUAGGCAAAAUGGUGCCGUAACUUCGGGAGAAGGCACGCUGACACGUAGGUGAAGUGAUUUACUCAUGGAGCUGAAGUCAGUCGAAGAUACCAGCUGGCUGCAACUGUUUAUUAAAAACACAGCACUGUGCAAACACGAAAGUGGACGUAUACGGUGUGACGCCUGCCCGGUGCCGGAAGGUUAAUUGAUGGGGUCAGCGCAAGCGAAGCUCCUGAUCGAAGCCCCGGUAAACGGCGGCCGUAACUAUAACGGUCCUAAGGUAGCGAAAUUCCUUGUCGGGUAAGUUCCGACCUGCACGAAUGGCGUAAUGAUGGCCAGGCUGUCUCCACCCGAGACUCAGUGAAAUUGAACUCGCUGUGAAGAUGCAGUGUACCCGCGGCAAGACGGAAAGACCCCGUGAACCUUUACUAUAGCUUGACACUGAACAUUGAGCCUUGAUGUGUAGGAUAGGUGGGAGGCUUUGAAGCGUGGACGCCAGUCUGCGUGGAGCCGACCUUGAAAUACCACCCUUUAAUGUUUGAUGUUCUAACGUGGACCCGUAAUCCGGGUUGCGGACAGUGUCUGGUGGGUAGUUUGACUGGGGCGGUCUCCUCCUAAAGAGUAACGGAGGAGCACGAAGGUUGGCUAAUCCUGGUCGGACAUCAGGAGGUUAGUGCAAUGGCAUAAGCCAGCUUGACUGCGAGCGUGACGGCGCGAGCAGGUGCGAAAGCAGGUCAUAGUGAUCCGGUGGUUCUGAAUGGAAGGGCCAUCGCUCAACGGAUAAAAGGUACUCCGGGGAUAACAGGCUGAUACCGCCCAAGAGUUCAUAUCGACGGCGGUGUUUGGCACCUCGAUGUCGGCUCAUCACAUCCUGGGGCUGAAGUAGGUCCCAAGGGUAUGGCUGUUCGCCAUUUAAAGUGGUACGCGAGCUGGGUUUAGAACGUCGUGAGACAGUUCGGUCCCUAUCUGCCGUGGGCGCUGGAGAACUGAGGGGGGCUGCUCCUAGUACGAGAGGACCGGAGUGGACGCAUCACUGGUGUUCGGGUUGUCAUGCCAAUGGCACUGCCCGGUAGCUAAAUGCGGAAGAGAUAAGUGCUGAAAGCAUCUAAGCACGAAACUUGCCCCGAGAUGAGUUCUCCCUGAGACUUUAGGUCUCCUGAAGGAACGUUGAAGACGACGACGUUGAUAGGCCGGGUGUGUAAGCGCAGCGAUGCGUUGAGCUAACCGGUACUAAUGAACCGUGAGGCUUAACCUU